AGACGAGUCUGCUGCAGCACGCGCGUGAGUGAGAAGGCCUUCGGGUUGUAAAGCUCUUUUGUCAGGGAAGAACACGUACCGGAGUAACUGCCGGUACCUUGACGGUACCUGACCAGAAAGCCCCGGCUAACUACAUGCCAGCAGCCGCGGUAAUAGGGU
rnacentral:rRNA from 1 species